rnacentral:rRNA from 1 species
GACAUAGGUUGCGAGCGUUAUUCGGAAUCACUGGGCGUAAAGCGCACGUAGGCGGCUUUUUAAGUCAGGGGUGAAAUCCUGGAGCUCAACUCCAGAACUGCCUUUGAUACUGGGAGCUUGAGUCCGGGAGAGGUGAGUGGAACUCCGAGUGUAGAGGUGAAAUUCGUAGAUAUUCGGAAGAACACCAGUGGCGAAGGCGGCUCACUGGCCCGGUACUGACGCUGAGGUGCGGAAAGCGUGGGGGAGCAAACAGGG